AGUUAACGUUGGCGGCGUGCCUAACACAUGCAAGUCGAACGCGUUCCGGGGGCAACCUCGGGAUGAGUGGCGAACGGGUGAGUAACACGUGGGUCAUCUUCCUUCAAGUGGGGAAUAAGCUCUCGAAAGGGAGUCUAAUACCGCAUGACGUUCCGGGAUGUCUGUCCCGUAAUUAAAGCCGCAAGGCGCUUGAAGAUGAGCCUGCGUCCUAUUAGCUAGUUGGUAGGGUAAUGGCCUACCAAGGCUCAGAUGGGUAGCCGGCCUGAGAGGGUGAACGGCCACACUGGGACUGAGACACGGCCCAGACUCCUACGGGAGGCAGCAGUGAGGAAUUUUGCGCAAUGGGGGAAACCCUGACGCAGCGACGCCGCGUGGAGGAUGAAGGCCUUCGGGUCGUAAACUCCUGUCAGAGGUGAAGAAUACCCGCAAGGUUUGACGGUAACCUCAGAGGAAGCCCGGCUAACUACGUG
rnacentral:rRNA from 1 species